CCUACGGGAGACAGCAGUGGGGAAUAUUGCACAAUGGGGGAAACCCUGAUGCAGCGACGCCGCGUGAGUGAAGAAGUAUCUCGGUAUGUAAAGCCUCAUCAGCAGGGAAGAAAAUGACGGUACCUGAUUAAGAAGCCCCGGCUAACUACGGGCCAGCAGCCGUGGUAAUACGUAGGGGGCAAGCGUUAUCCGGAUUUACUGGGUGUAAAGGGAGCGUAGAGGGCAGCACAAGUCUGGAGUGAAAUGCCGGGGCUUAAGCCCGGAACUGCUUUGGAAACUGUGCCGCUAGAGUGCAGGAGAGGUAAGUGGAAUGCCUAGUGUAGCGGUGAAAUGCGUAGAUAUUAGGAGGAACUCCAGUGGCGAAGGCAGCAUACUGGACUGUAACUGACGUUGAGGCUCGAAAGCGUGGGGAGCGAACAGGAUUAGAUACCCUUGUAGUC
rnacentral:rRNA from 1 species